GACGAACGCUGGCGGCGUGCCUAAUACAUGCAAGUCGGACGAGUGGCGGACGGGUGAGUAAUGUCUGGGCAACUGCCUGAUGGCGGGGGAUCACUACUGGAAACGGUAGCUAAUACCGCAUACCAUCGGAUGUGCCCAGAUGGGAUUAGCUAGUAGGUGGGGUAAAGGCUCACCUAGGCGACGAUCCCUAGCUGGUCUGAGAGGAUGACCAGCCACACGGGAACUGGGACCCGGUCCAGACUCCUACGGUAGGCAGCAGGGGGGAAUAUUGCACAAUGGGCGCAAGCCGGAUGCAGCAAUGCCGGGUGUAUGAAGAAGGCCUUCGGUUGGUAAAGUACUUUCAGCGGGGAGGCGUUACCCGCAGAAGAAGCACCGGCUAACUCCGUGCCAGCAGCCGCGGUAAUAC
rnacentral:rRNA from 1 species